rnacentral:sRNA from 1 species
UCCAAAGGAAUUCUCUUUGAAAAUAUCAUUAAAAAAUAGUGGAAAAAUUAAAAAAAAAAACCUCUUACCUUUCCAAAGUUUUGCUGUAAAAACAAUAUCGUGUUUUGAAAUACGACAAGUGUUGGGAGUGUGUUUCAGGGAGUAGAGUGAUUUUUGUUUACGUUCUCGUUUUUUGCCAAGACAAACAUCGGCUUCCAUUCGCUUUGCUAAGAAGAUACCGGGAGCUAAAGUAACGCAGUCGAAUGUGAAAAAAUAGUGGUCUUUCAAAAUGAUGCAAAAAAAUUAAUAUUGUAUAAAAGUUUUAUUUUACAAUUCCUAUAUCAUAGAUCAAAUCGAAGAAGCAAUACAAAUUUUAUACAAUCAAAAUAUGAAAAAUUUUAAAAUUGUGCUGUAAAGGUGUAUUAUUGCAGACGAAAUUUCUUAAGAAAAAUAGAAUUUUUGCAAUUGAACUAGUGGGCCCAAAACUUUGAAGCCAAAACUGCUGCUGUAGAAGUAGUUCCAUCAACAAACGAGGCACUGAAAAAGAAAAGUAGAAAGUCAUAACAUAAAAUCCCAUAAAUUUCCCUCAGCCUCAAAAGACGUGAAAGCGGGCUAGCACACAAGCCACAUAACAUACAGCCAUUCUACACAAAAACCAACCAAACCAAGGUUGAUUUGUAGUUGAAAACUAAGGAAAAAGUAUGUGUGAAUGUAUGAACGAGCUGAAGCAACUGCCGAAGGAUUCUGAGAGUUUCGCCCACAAAUCAUAAAGUUUAUGAUUUGUUAUCCCAAAGCUAUAACACAUGCAGAAAAAAUAUUUCUUAGCUGCUAUGCAACCCACACAGAAAUCACUCCCGAAAAAUAACAAAAUGCUGCUUCUGACAUUUUCAGUAUGGUGUGCUUAAGUUUAAAUCUUCCUUCAAAAGACAAUUGAAUUGACAAUUUGGUUUAAAUAAAUCUACAUACAAAAAAAAUCUAUAAAAACCGAACAAAAUCGAAUUGCUUAAAAAAAGAAAAAUAUAUUAAACAGAAGACAAGAAACAGAGUAGACACCCAGCUACACAAAUAACAGUUGCGAAAAAACAAUAACGCAUACAUAAACAGCAAAACGGAAGCGGAAAUUGUAAAAUAAAAUUCCGCACAAAUACGCACACCAUUGUUACAAACAUCAUAAAACAGAAGUCAUAAAAGCUUUGGGCAGAAAAAAAAAACAAAUACAUCGACCAAGUCAACAACAGUUCCAGCAAGAAACGCAGAAAAUAAAUUGAGGAAUUUAAACGCAAACCAAACCCAGUCAACAAGAGCAACGACCAACCGAACUGGCCCUCGUUUGAGGCCAAGUAACAACAAACAAACCAAUAAACUGAUAAACAUUUACAGUUAUAACUAUCCCCUUUAAACAACUAUUGCCACUUCCGCUUGACUGGUUAUUGGUAUUUUGUUUUCUUUUUGUUGUUUUGUUUUUAUUUUCUCGGGAUUUUCUGCUUCGUUUGUAUUUUCUUGGCGUUUCUUAAGAAGGAUAUUUUCUUUUUGAAAAAUACACAAACAUUGUGUACCAGAGUACCAGAAACAGUCGACAAAUACAAACAUGACGUCUUCGACAGGAAUACCAACAACAACAACAGCAAAUACAUCAACAUCGCCAAUAACGGCUACAAUGCCAUUGACGGAAAGUUCAACAACACCUCCACCUUCCAGUUGUAUGCAAAGGACCUUCAGGCUAGCUCGCAAAGGAAGUGGCGUUACGGGGCAACAUCCUCGACAUCUGUUGGCUUACAUUCUGAUAUCGAUAUUGGUUGUGCUGUGUUGGC